GAAGAAUCAUAGGCACAGAGCAAAAGAAAGGUCUGGGAAGGAGAGGCCAGUGAGGGGGAGAAAGUCCAUACAUUUUCCUGAGUAUCUGGGGAGUCCUGGAAUGCAGGCAUCACCUCUCUGCUCCUUUUAUAGUUUGAUGCUUCUGUCAUGGGCACUGGUAGAUGUGCCCUUAGGAUGAAGGUCCAAGGUCUUCUGAUGCUGUCUUCCUUUGGCAGCCAUCUUAGAUGGUUCAUCUUCAACGGAACUCUUGGCCUUAGACACCUGUCCUCAGAAGUGGAGACUACAGUAGAGAGGUUGAAGUUCAGUGGUCACUCAGCAGCGGCCUCAUCACGAAGCAACACAAUUCAACAGGAACACUUUGAGAACAGAAUCUCUGUGCAGUAACUUGCUGCUUUGUUUCGGCUUGAUCAACUAGAGCUUGCUUCCUCUGUCUUUCAUGUUACACCACUAAUCAGCUUGUCUAAUAUUAAAGACGUUCAAUGCUGGGCAUGGACUAUACUUCCAUUUUUGUUCAAUCUCUUUCCUUCCCAGCUUCCCUCCUUUCCUUCCUCC
rnacentral:lncRNA from 1 species